UGCCAGCAGCCGCGGUAAUACGGAGGGAGCGAGCGUUGUUCGGAAUUACUGGGCGUAAAGCGCGGGCAGGUGGUCCGUUAAGUCGUCUGUGAAAACCCGAGGCUCAACCUCGUGGAAUGCAGGCGAUACUGGCGGACUAGAGAUCGGUAGAGGCUAGCGGAAUUCCUGGUGUAGCGGUGGAAUGCGUAGAUAUCAGGAAGAACACCCGUGGCGAAGGCGGCUAGCUGGGCCGAGUCUGACACUCAUCCGCGAAAGCGUGGGGAGCAAACAGGAUUAGAUA
rnacentral:rRNA from 1 species